GUAGUCAUAUGCUUGUCUCAAAGAUUAAGCCAUGCAUGUCUAAGUAUAAGCAAUUAUACCGUGAAACUGCGAAUGGCUCAUUAAAUCAGUUAUCGUUUAUUUGAUAGUACCUUACUACUUGGAUAACCGUGGUAAUUCUAGAGCUAAUACAUGCUGAAAACCCCGACUUACGAAGGGGUGUAUUUAUUAGAUAAAAAACCAACGCCCUGCGGGGCUUCUUGGUGAUUCAUGAUAACUUUACGGAUCGCAUGGCCUUGCGCCGGCGACGGUUCAUUCAAAUUUCUGCCCUAUCAACUUUCGAUGGUAAGGUAUUGGCUUACCAUGGUUUCAACGGGUAACGGGGAAU
rnacentral:rRNA from 1 species